AUGCAAGUCGAACGAAGUAGCAAUACUUAGUGGCAGACGGGUGAGUAACAUGUAGGUAUCUGCCCUUUGGCCUGGAAUAACACGAGGAAACUUGUGCUAAUACCGGAUAAGUCUUUACGGAGAAAGCUUUAUGCACCAUUGGAUGAGCCUGCACUUGAUUAGUUUGUUGGUGGGGUAAUGGCCUACCAAGACUGUGAUCAAUAGCUGAUUUGAGAGGAUGAUCGGCCACAUUGGGACUGAGACACGGCCCAAACUCCUACGGGAGGCAGCAGUGGGGAAUCUUGCACAAUGGAGGAAACUCUGAUGCAGCGAUGCCGCGUGAGUGAAGAAGGCCCUUGGGUUGUAAAACUCUUUCGUCGGGGAAGAAAAUGACUGUACCCGAAUAAGAAGGUCCGGCUAACUUCGUGCCAGCAGCCGCGGUAAUACGAAGGGACCUAGCGUAGUUCGGAAUUACUGGGCUUAAAGAGUUCGUAGGUGGUUGAAAUAGUUGGUGGUAAAAUCCCAGAGCUUAACACUGGAACUGCCAUUAAAACCUUUCAGCUAGAGUAUGAUAGAGGAAAGCAGAAUUUCUAGUGUAGAGGUGAAAUUCGUAGAUAUUAGAAAGAAUACCAAUUGCGAAGGCAGCUUUCUGGAUCAUUACUGACACUGAGGAACGAAAGCAUGGGUAGCGAAGAGGAUUAGCUACCCUCGUAGUCCAUGCCGUAAACGAUGUGUGUUAGACGUUGGAAAUUUAUUUUCAGUGUCGCAGGGAAACCGAUAAACACACCGCCUGGGGAGUACGACCGCAAGGUUAAAACUCAAAUGAAUUGACGGGGACCCGCACAAGUAGUGGAGCAUGUGGUUUAAUUCGAAGAUACGCGCAGAACCUUACCAACACUUGACAUGUUCGUCGCGACUCUAAGAGAUUAGAGUUUUCGGUUCGGCCGGACGAAACACAGGUGCUGCAUGGCUGUCGUCAGCUCGUG
rnacentral:rRNA from 1 species